CGUGUAACUGUCACCUCUGUUUUACUGUCGUGAUGGAGACAUUGACCCGGAUCAGACACCAGGGGGCGGGAAGCACAGUCACAACUGAUACGGCCAGCCGUCGUGAAACGCAAGCGCAAAUUUUUAGUUCUAUGAUUUCGUCGACUGCCUUACCGCCGCCAGAGCUGAGUUAGACGUUAACGGAGGCGGUUGGUGAACACGAGAGCUAGUGAAAAGAAGAGUUCGUUUGAUUUGUUUCAGCCCCAGGACUGAGGCGUUCAGGUGGCGUGACUGACGUGCCCUGUCUGCAAUCCUCCCUUUCAGUAAGUCUCUUCAGCCCCAGGACCGAGGCGU